rnacentral:lncRNA from 1 species
CCCUGCCACCCCCCGUCCCUGGGUUCUUGCUACCCCCUCCUCAUUCUCUGCCUGCAAGCCUCGCACAGGAAGGCUUGGGAUAUUUCUGCCAGCUCUCUGGGGAGUUCUCUGUCUAAAUUUAGAGCAGCUAUUACCCCUCAGUACCUGCUUCCCACAUGGGUGGCUGAUUUGCGUCCUGAGAGCCCCAGAGGGGAGAGCGGUGCAGAUGCUUUGCCGUGUGACCUACCCAGCCCUUGGAGCCAGCUCCUGGGCAGAGAGAAGGCGGAGAGGAGAGGGAAGGCGAGGAAGGUGGCAGCCACGGCCCAGGAUCAACCGCAUGCACGUGGAGAGGGCCGGUGGGCCUCUGCCCGAGAGACACCAUGGGGGAGGGAUGAGUGUUGGGACCUCCUGGCCCACCGCCUGGCUGACGUUACUCCGAUGCUCAUACACUGGCCUGUGACAGCAGGUGUCCACCCCAGGCUCCUGGGCCCAACUCUCCCCAGGAGGGAUUCGGGCUCCAUGGGGGACCAGGUGAUCGGGCGACUGCGUGGAUCCUCCUGGGCAGGCCCAAAGAUGUGCGCCGAGAGCCUGGUCGCUCCCAGGGCUGCAAGCAGUGAUGAAGCUGGCCCUGUCUGGAGCCAGAGCAGAUGCACCGAGUCCAUGCAUGGCUGUGCACACACCUUCACAGGAACUGGGGCAGCAGAACGCCUCUCAGCCAUCUAGGCCGACUGGCAAGGAGGUGGCCAAGGCUGAGAGAGAGAUACAUAUAUAUAUAUAUAUAUGUAUGUAUGACAUAUAUGUAUGUGUAAUAUAUGUAUGUAUACCGUGCAUACAUAUAUGCAUAUACACACAUAUACAUAUACAAAUGUAUGUAUGACAUAUAUAUAUAGCAAACAAAGGGCACAGUAGUGACAAGGCUAAUGGCUUCGAAUACAACCUUAGUAGAGAGCUUGGUGUGAACUGAAUUGUGUGCACCCACUACACACACAUUGCUACAGUGAAGUCCUAACUUUGGUACCUGUGACCAUGAGCUUGGUUGGAAAUAGGGCGUUUGCAGCUGUAAAUAGUUAGGAUGACAUAACCCUGGAGUGGGGUGGGCCCCUAAUCCGUUAUGACUGGUGUCCUUAGAACAAGUGGGGAUUUGCACACAGACACGCCCAGAGAGAACACUGUGGAUCAGCCACGACCCCGCAGAAGCCAGGGGAGAGGCCUGGGGUGGACCUUUCCCUCCAGCCUGCAGAGGGACCACAGCCCUGCCGACACCUUGAUCUUGAACUUCUGGCCUCCAGAACUGGGAGAGAAUACUGUUUAACUCGAAAAGACCCCUGUGAAGUUGAGGGUCUUACCGUUUCACAGAUGAAGAAAUGAAGACUCUGAACAUCUGAAUGACUUGUUCAGACUAAUUCAGCCAGCUGGAGGUAAACCCAGAGUUUAAUUCAACUCUUCUGAUGUGAACUCUGGAUCCAGGGAAAUAAACGUAAGUGCUGUAGCAUCUUCCAGCUUCCUGAUAUAUUCAGGUUUUAAUGUUCUUUUAAAGCUUUGGGCUCUCCAGAUAUUGUUCGAGUGAACCCUCUCCCAUGCACCAACCUGCCUCUGAGAAAUUGAUUCCUUUUCAGGGAGAGAAACCCAGGAACCUUUCUUUCUGUGCUAUAAAUGUCCCCCAGGGCACUACUUUAGCUGCAUCCCACAAAUUGUGCUGUUUUGCAUUUUGUUUUAAUCUAUUUCAGUAUAUUUUAAAAGGUUUUCCU